rnacentral:rRNA from 1 species
CGAGCGACGAGUAAGUGCGGGUAACCAAGCCUAUUACGGAGCGGCGAACGGGUGAGUAACACGUGAGCAACCUGCCCCGAAGACCGGGAUAGCCCAGGGAAACUUGGAUUAAUACCGGAUACCCUCGGAGGGCCACAUGGUCCCACGAGGAAAUGCCUUUGUGCUUCGGGAUGGGCUCGCGUCCUAUCAGCUUGUUGGUGGGGUAACGGCCUACCAAGGCGUCGACGGGUAGCUGGUCUGAGAGGACGAUCAGCCACACUGGGACUGAGACACGGCCCAGACUCCUACGGUAGGCAGCAGCAGGGAAUUUUGCGCAAUGGGCGAAAGCCUGACGCAGCAACGCCGCGUGGGGGAUGAAGGCCUUCGGGUUGUAAACCCCUUUCAGGAGGAACGAAAUUGACGGUACCUCCAGAACAACCCCCGGCCAACUACUUGCCAGCAGCCUGGGGAAUACUUAUGGGGCGAGGGUUCUUCGGAAUUAUUGGGCGAAUUCAUUCCUCCUGAAACGGAUUUACUCCCCGAAGGACAUCCUCCGCCCAACCUUGUUCCUGCCUCCGGUUUUGCUCUGUUGAGAAUAAUUUCCAGGAGAUGCCACCUCCAGGAGUCUGGGCGGAGUGUCAAUACCAGUGUGGGUGAUCGUCCUCUCAAAGCAGCUACCUGUCCACGCCUUGGUACGCCGUUACCCCACCAACAAGCUGAUAGGACACGAGCCCAUCCGGAAGCACACAGGCAUUUCCUCGUGGGACCAUGUGGCCCUCCGAGGGUAUCCGGUAUUAAUCCAAGUUUCCCUGGGCUAUCCCGGUCUUCGGGGCAAGUUGCUC